rnacentral:lncRNA from 1 species
UGGCCGAGGAGUGCACGAGCAGGAGAGCAACAUGGAAAUGCAUACCGCUCCUCGAUUGUGACCAUGGAGCACAUGAGUCAGAGAGCAGUAUGGAUAUAUGUAUCGCUCCUCGAUCAUGGCCGAGGAGUGCACGAAAGGAAAGCAGUAUAGAGAUGCAUACUGCUCUUCGAUCAUGGUCAAGAAGUGCGUGAGUCAAAGAGCAGCAUGGAGAUACAUGCCAUUCCUCGAUCGUGGUCGAGGGGCACACGAGUCGGAGACCUACAUGGAGAUCAUGG